GUCGAGCGGAUUCAUUCCUUCGGGGAUGGGUUAGCGGCGGACGGGUGAGUAACACGUAGGCAACCUGCCUAUAAGCCUGGGAUAACUUCCGGAAACGGAUGCUAAUACCGGAUACGUUGAUUCUUCGCAUGAAGAGUCAUGGAAAGACGGCGCAAGCUGUCACUUAUGGAUGGGCCUGCGGCGCAUUAGCUAGUUGGUGGGGUAACGGCUCACCAAGGCGACGAUGCGUAGCCGACCUGAGAGGGUGAUCGGCCACACUGGGACUGAGACACGGCCCAGACUCCUACGGGAGGCAGCAGUAGGGAAUCUUCGGCAAUGGACGCAAGUCUGACCGAGCAACGCCGCGUGAGUGAUGAAGGGUUUCGGCUCGUAAAACUCUGUUGCCAGAGAAGAACGUCCAGGAGAGUAACUGCUCUUGGAGUGACGGUAUCUGAGAAGAAAGCCCCGGCUAACUACGUGCCAGCAGCCGCGGUAAUACGUAGGGGGCAAGCGUUGUCCGGAAUUAUUGGGCGUAAAGCGCGCGCAGGCGGUUGUUUAAGUCUGGGGUUUAAGUUCGGGGCUCAACCCCGUAUCGCCCUGGAAACUGGGGAACUGGAGUGUAGGAGAGGAAAGUGGAAUUCCACGUGUAGCGGUGAAAUGCGUAGAGAUGUGGAGGAACACCAGUGGCGAAGGCGACUUUCUGGCCUAUAACUGACGCUGAGGCGCGAAAGCGUGGGGAGCAAACAGGAUUAGAUACCCUGGUAGUCCACGCCGUAAACGAUGCACGCUAGGUGUUGGGGGUUUCAAUACCCUCGGUGCCGAAGUUAACACAUUAAGCGUGCCGCCUGG
rnacentral:rRNA from 1 species